GUUUAUGAUUUUCAAAACGUAUAAAUUAUAUAAAUGUCUUUAAUAUAAAAUUAUAGACAAAACAUAACAAAAUAAAUAUCAAAACAAAAUGGUGACAUUCCCGUCCUGGACUCCGACUUUAACAUUCAGUGCAGGACCAAAACAAUAAAAAAUACACAAAAGAGGGUAUUUAGAUUUAGUUGGUAUCCUCUCAUUUAAAAGCUUACGAUUCGACGUAAAAACUCGCAUGGAAUAUACAGUAGACGCGCGAGUUCAUGUCCAUCCUGAGGAAUACGGUAGUGCUGUGACCUAGUUAAUUAUGGUAAUGUCGAUAAUAACUACCGAUUUAGUCAACAGCUGUUUGGUCAAUUUGGUUUAAUGUAACAUAAGGCCAUUUUGCAAUUUAUGAAAUAAAAUAAUUGUGAUAAGUAA